GUACUCGCUUCGGCAGCACAUAUAUUAAAAUUGGAACGAUACAGAGAAGAUUAGCAUGGCCCCUGCACAAAGAUGACACGCAAAUUUGUGAAGAUUAUAUAUUAAAA